rnacentral:rRNA from 1 species
UACGAGGGGUGCAAGCGUUAUUCGGAAUUAUUGGGCGUAAAGGGUACGUAGACGGCAUAUUAAGUCAACUGUUAAAUUCCUCGGCCUAACUGGGGACCAGCAGUAGAUACUGAUGUGCUAGAGGAUGGAAGAGAGAAGUGGAAUUCUCGGAGUAGCGGUAAAAUGCGUAGAUCUCGAGAGGAACACCGAUGGCGAAGGCAGCUUCUUGGUCCAUUUCUGACGUUGAGGUACGAAAGCGUGGGGAGCAAACAGG